rnacentral:rRNA from 1 species
CCCUUAGAUGUUCUGGGCCGCACGCGCGCUACACUGAUGCAUUCAACGAGCCUAUCCUUGACCGACAGGACCGGGUAAUCUUUGAAUCUGCAUCGUGACGGGGAUAGAUUAUUGCAAUUAUUAAUCUUCAACGAGGAAUGCCUAGUAGGCGCAAGUCAUCAGCUUGCGUCGAUUACGUCCCUGCCCUUUGUACACACCGCCCGUCGCUCCUACCGAUUGGGUGUGCUGGUGAAAUGUUCGGAUCGGCCGUUUGUCGCGGUUUCCGCGUCAUGUGGCUGAGAAGUUCAUUAAACCCUCCCACCUAGAGGAAGGAGAAGUCGUAACA